AGCGAACGCUGGCGGCAGGCCUAACACAUGCAAGUCGAGCGCCCCGCAAGGGGAGCGGCAGACGGGAGAGUAACACGUGGGAACAUGCCCUUCAGUUCGGAACAACCCAGGGAAACUUGGGCUAAUACCGGAUACGUCCGUAAGGAGAAAGAUUUAUCGCUGAAGGAUUGGCCCGCGUCCGAUUAGCUAGUUGGUGAGGUAAUGGCUCACCAAGGCGACGAUCGGUAGCUGGUCUGAGAGGAUGAUCAGCCUCACUGGGACUGAGACACGGCCCAGACUCCUACGGGAGGCAGCAGUGGGGAAUAUUGGACAAUGGGCGCAAGCCUGAUCCAGCCAUGCCGCGUGGGUGAUGAAGGCCCUAGGGUUGUAAAGCCCUUUCGGCGGGGAAGAUAAUGACGGUACCCGCAGAAGAAGCCCCGGCUAACUUCGUGCCAGCCGCCGCCGUAAUAC
rnacentral:rRNA from 1 species